rnacentral:rRNA from 1 species
GAUGAACGCUGGCGGCGUGCCUAAUACAUGCAAGUCGAGCGAACGGACGAGAAGCUUGCUUCUCUGAUGUUAGCGGCGGACGGGUGAGUAACACGUGGAUAACCUACCUAUAAGACUGGGAUAACUUCGGGAAACCGGAGCUAAUACCGGAUAAUAUUUUGAACCGCAUGGUUCAAAAGUGAAAGACGGUCUUUCUGUCACUUAUAGAUGGAUCCGCGCUGCAUUAGCUAGUUGGUAAGGUAACGGCUUACCAAGGCAACGAUGCAUAGCCGACCUGAGAGGGUGAUCGGCCACCCUGGAACGGAGACACGGUCCAGACUCCUACGGGAGGCAGCAGUAGGGAAUCUUCCGCAAUGGGCGAAAGCCUGACGGAGCAACGCCGCGUGAGUGCUGAAGGUCCUCGGAUCGUAAAACUCUGUUAUUAGGGAAGAACAUAUGUGUAAGUAACUGUGCACAUCUUGACGGUACCUAAUCAGAAAGCCACGGCUAACUACGUG